GGAAUGGGCUGCCCAGGGAGGUGGUGGAUUCUCCGUCCCUAGAGGUUUUUAAGAUGAGACUGGAUGUGGCAAGGUCUAGUGCCAUGGUCUAGAAACCACAGUGGUAGUGGAUCAAGGGUUGGACUUGAUGAUCUCAGAGGUCUUUUCCAACCCAGUUGA